UACGGAGGGAGCUAGCGUUGUUCGGAAUUACUGGGCGUAAAGCGCACGUAGGCGGCUUUGUAAGUCAGAGGUGAAAGCCUGGAGCUCAACUCCAGAACUGCCUUUGAGACUGACAUCGCUUGAAUCCGGGAGAGGUGAGUGGAAUUCGAGUGUAGAGGUGAAAUUCGUAGAUAUUCGCAAGAACACCAGUGGCGAAGGCGGCUCACUGGCCCGGUACUGACGCUGAGGCACGAAAGCGUGGGGAGCAAACAGG
rnacentral:rRNA from 1 species